UGGGGAAUAUUGGACAAUGGGCGCAAGCCUGAUCCAGCAAUGCCGCGUGUGUGAAGAAGGCCUUCGGGUUGUAAAGCACUUUUAUCAGGAGCGAAACGCUGUCGGCUAAUACCCGGCGGAACCGACGGUACCUGAGGAAUAAGCACCGGCUAACUUCGUGCCAGCAGCCGCGGUAAUACGAAGGGUGCAAGCUUAAUCGGAAUUACUGGGCGUAAAGCGUGCGUAGGCGGUUUCUUAAGUCUGCUGUGAAAUCCCCGGGCUCAACCUGGGAAAUGGCAGUGGAUACUGGGAGGCUAGAGUGUGUCAGAGGGUGGUGGAAUUCCCGGUGUAGCGGUGAAAUGCGUAGAGAUCGGGAGGAACAUCAGUGGCGAAGGCGGCCACCUGGGACAACACUGAC
rnacentral:rRNA from 1 species